AUGUUGCACCGCUAAUAUUAGCGUUCACAGCCGCGUGCACUAAGAACGACCCAGUGACGAACGCGUUCCCGGUGCAUCCAAUAACUUCAGAACCUCAGGAUUUCGUGAAUGGAAUACAAUUUGAAAACCACUGAAGUAAAGUUAUAUCCUCACAUCGUGCCUUGAACUCAACGUGUCUAUCAAUACGACCCAACGACCUGAUGUUAAAGGUUAAACAAAUGAAGCUUUCGGGAACAUCGAACGAACAGCAAAGAAAUUGUC